rnacentral:rRNA from 1 species
AAUGAACGCUGGCGGCAUGCCUAACACAUGCAAGUCGAACGAGACCUUCGGGUCUAGUGGCGCACGGGUGGGUAAGGCGGGGGAACCUGCCCGUAGGUUAGGAAUAACUACCAGAAAGAGGUGCUAAUACAGGAGAAUGUAAUAGGAGCAAAGAUUGAUCGCCUUUGGAUGGGCACGCGUAGGAUUAGCUAGUUGGUAGGGUAAAAGCCUAACAAGGCGACGAUCCAUAGCUGGUUUGAGAGGAUGAUCAGCCACACUGGGACUGGGACACGGCCCGGACUCCUACGGGAGGCAGCAGUGGGGAAUAUUGGACGAUGGGCGAAAGCCUGAUGCAUCCAUGCCGCGUAAGUGAUGUAUGCCUUAGGGUUGUAAAGCUCUUUUACCCGGGAUUAUAUUGACAGUACCGGGAGAAUAAGCUCCGGCUAACUCCGUG